rnacentral:lncRNA from 1 species
AAAACGUUAAAAAGGGAUACUCUAGAGCCUUCUUGCUCCAGCUGGAAACCAAUAAAUAAACCCCUUUGAAAGAAACAAACGUCAUAAAUUAAUUAUCAUCCAUCAAAUCAUCGGCUGACCGUUUCAAAAACCCCAAAAAAACUUUCUUAAGUGCUUCACCUUUCUUUAAUGCUCUCCCAAAAGGCAGAUUUCAAAAAGCAAAUUCUUCUUCUUCGUCAACCCUCCGUCCUCUCAGUACACCCAUGCUCUCCGUCCUCCUUUAGUCCUCAGCCACCAGACCCGCCGCUCCAGACGGUACCAAAUUCUCCAGAUAAGUUGAUUCCCUCCGUAUUAUUCCUUCAGAUGCAAUUAUAUGCACAAUCUUAUUAGCUUCUCUAUUUGUAAAAAGGAAAACAUAAGUCUGAAAACCUAAACUUAGGUUUUUAGAGUCCUUAAUAAAUGCAGUAAUCUAAGAUCUAUCCUCUUGCUGCUCUUGUAACUUACGAAUCACCGACCGCGAAUCCCCCUCGAUCUCCACCUCUCUCAAACCAAGGUGUAAGCCAAGUUGUUCUGCAGCAAAGACAGACGGUAUGUUUGAAUUCAUUACUAUUUUUGAGCAAAGAACAUCAGCUUUAGCAUUUCGGAUAAUUAACCUAGAACACGAUUCUUUUCUAUGUUUGUUGAAAGCGGCGUCAAAAUUAAUUUUAAGUCUCGUUCCUACUGGAGCAACCCAUCUCACUACACGGAGCCGAUCUACAGGUAGAGAUGUUCUUAACCCAUCUAGUUCCUAUAUAAAAUUUUUUACAAAAACCACAAUUUGAGCACCCGUUUUAACUUCACGUUCAUGGAUAUAUCUGUUUCUGGAAGUCCAAAUCGCCCAUAGUGCACAUGCUAUGACUCUGCAAGUAGCCGUAGAUCUGGAUUCAAAAAUAAGUUUUAACCACUCUCUGAAAUCAGUAAUUUCAUCUGAACGAGACCAGCUUAUACUCAAGGACUCCCAUGUUUCCUUUGCUGUAGGACACUCGUGGAACAAAUGUUCCCUCGUUUCCACUUCAUUUUGGCACCGACUACAAGUGGCAAAACCCCUCAAUCUCCGGUAGUGUAGAUUACUGAAAAUAGGCAGAAAGUUUCGCGAAAAUUGCCAAAUUGUAAUCUUUAUUUUAAAGGGUAGAUCUAGAUUCCACAAUUUUUUUUUAAAAUUGUUUGUAAUUUGCUUGUAAGUCAUUCUAAUCAUCAUGUAAAAGGAUUUUAUGACCACUUCGAACCGAAAAUUCCCCAAUCAGCUCACCUUGUCAAAUGACAAAGUAUUCGUGCUCAUUCAACGACAAGGGAAUACAGAGAAUCCUCUCUGCGUCCUGCUUUGAAAAGGUAUUAUAGAUGUAACACCCCGAAUCGUGGCCGUUAUCGGGGUCAAACACGAGGUGUUAUCGGCCUUAAUUCAUCACUUAUACAGCUCAAACAAUUUAUUUUAAAACUCCUAGACAAGCUGUCAAUCUGCGUUAUAAUGACUUAAAAAUUCGUAUCUUGAGUUUCGAAACUCGAAAUCAAAUUUCGUAAUUUUUUCUUGAACUUAGACUCAUAUAUAUAUCUAAUAAAAUUUUUGUAGAAUU